rnacentral:rRNA from 1 species
AAUUAGUGGCAGACGGGUGAGUAAUGCAUAGGAAUCUACCUAGUAGUAUAGGAUAGCCACUAGAAAUGGUGGGUAAUACUGUAUAAUCCCUGCGGGGGAAAGAUUUAUCGCUACAUGAUGAGCCUAUGUUAGAUUAGCUAGUUGGUGGGGUAAUGGCCUACCAAGGCAGUGAUCUAUAGCUGGUCUGAGAGGAUGAUCAGCCACACUGGAACUGAGACACGGUCCAGACUCCUACGGGAGGCAGCAGUGGGGAAUAUUGGACAAUGGGCGCAAGCCUGAUCCAGCUAUGCCGCGUGAGUGAGGAAGGCCUUAGGGUUGUAAAACUCUUUCAGUAGGGAAGAUAAUGACGGUACC